UCGGUUUAAAGUGUACGAUACUCGAACCGUAGCCUAGCGUAUACCAUACAACGCACAGCAUACCUAUAGAUCGGUAUAGUUCGGCCUGCGGCCUGACUAACGGUUGACGAAAUGUUAUCGAGCGUGUUUAUUGGGACGCACGACAGCUCCCUUUGAGAGGUUUCUUUUCUCGAAAGUUCUCCCCAACGGACGCCGACACCCGACAACACCACCUGUAAUAUGUAUGUGCUCGAGACAAUGAAGGAAAUAUCCAUUCGUCGUUGCGUACAAUGCGUAAAAUAUACGUAAUGCGUUGCAUUUUACAAGUCUCCGGGAGUUCCUGGUGUGGGGAAAGAGAGAGGAUCGAUGGGGCGAGACGUCUCCUGCACCACGCCCAAGCCGGGGGUGGUUAUACGACGAUGAUUCAUCCCAUGCCGAGUUCACGCACCCCCAUUGAAAUUCGGUAUUUGGGAAUCGAGUUUAGCAUAACUCUAGAAGGAGGCAGUAGCGAACGACAGACACCUAUAUGGCAUAAUGUGACAGCCAAGAAAAUGCUAAUAGGUACAUCAACGCUAUGUGGGUAUAACUAUUUCUGUGAACCGUUUCUGUCCCACUUACGAUAAAACUUUACAUAAUAAUUAUAAACAUGAAAGUUAGCUAUAUAAUGUAUAUAUGGCCAUACAGUGCAUCUGCGCAACGAAGAAGAGGCUUUGAAUUUCAUACAUUCAGAGCGAACUGUGUAGAAUAUAUUACAUACAUUAUAUACGUAUGGAUAUUAGACUAAUGAAAUAUGGAAUGAAGUCAGUUACGAAAUGAGAAAAAAAAAAUACAUGAAAAUGGGAAAACAUUCUCCGAAAAUGAACAGUCAUUUGUCAUUCAAUGUUAGAUUUUUCAAAAGUCAUUUUGAUUGUUUGUGAUUAAAUAUUAAUUCUUAUUUCCUAUCGCUAUCCCAAUUAAUAUGUUUUUUUCUUUUUUUGCCUCUGUUGGUGUGAAACGGAUUUCAAACCGUGGAAACCCAUUUCUGUACGCAUCGUCGGUACUGCGUGUUCGUGAAAAGUGAAACAAAGAAAGGUGCUCGUGACGAUUUUGGCGCGGAGGUUU
rnacentral:lncRNA from 1 species